rnacentral:rRNA from 1 species
CUACCAUGCAGUCGACGGAAAGGCCCUUCGGGGUACUCGAGUGGCGAACGGGUGAGUAACACGUGGGUGAUCUGCCCUGCACUUUGGGAUAAGCCUGGGAAACUGGGUCUAAUACCGAAUAGGACCGCAUGCUUCAUGGUGUGUGGUGGAAAGCUUUUGCGGUGUGGGAUGGGCCCGCGGCCUAUCAGCUUGUUGGUGAGGUAAUGGCUUACCAAGGCGACGACGGGUAGCCGGCCUGAGAGGGUGACCGGCCACACUGGGACUGAGAUACGGCCCAGACUCCUACGGGAGGCAGCAGUGGGGAAUAUUGCACAAUGGGCGCAAGCCUGAUGCAGCGACGCCGCGUGAGGGAUGACGGCCUUCGGGUUGUAAACCUCUUUCGCCAGGGACGAAGCGCAAGUGACGGUACCUGGAGAAGAAGGACCGGCCAACUACGUGCCAGCAGCCGCGGUAAUACGUAGGGUCCGAGCGUUGUCCGGAAUUACUGGGCGUAAAGAGCUCGUAGGUGGUUUGUCGCGUUGUUCGUGAAAACUCACAGCUUAACUGUGGGCGUGCGGGCGAUACGGGCAGACUUGAGUACUGCAGGGGAGACUGGAAUUCCUGGUGUAGCGGUGGAAUGCGCAGAUAUCAGGAGGAACACCGGUGGCGAAGGCGGGUCUCUGGGCAGUAACUGACGCUGAGGAGCGAAAGCGUGGGGAGCGAACAGGAUUAGAUACCCUGGUAGUCCACGCCGUAAACGGUGGGUACUAGGUGUGGGUUUCCUUCCUUGGGAUCCGUGCCGUAGCUAACGCAUUAAGUACCCCGCCUGGGGAGUACGGCCGCAAGGCUAAAACUCAAAGAAAUUGACGGGGGCCCGCACAAGCGGCGGAGCAUGUGGAUUAAUUCGAUGCAACGCGAAGAACCUUACCUGGGUUUGACAUGCACAGGACGCCGGCAGAGAUGUCGGUUCCCUUGUGGCCUGUGUGCAGGUGGUGCAUGGCUGUCGUCAGCUCGUGUCGUGAGAUGUUGGGUUAAGUCCCGCAACGAGCGCAACCCUUGUCUCAUGUUGCCAGCACGUUAUGGUGGGGACUCGUGAGAGACUGCCGGGGUCAACUCGGAGGAAGGUGGGGAUGACGUCAAGUCAUCAUGCCCCUUAUGUCCAGGGCUUCACACAUGCUACAAUGGCCGGUACAAAGGGCUGCGAUGCCGUGAGGUGGAGCGAAUCCUUUCAAAGCCGGUCUCAGUUCGGAUCGGGGUCUGCAACUCGACCCCGUGAAGUCGGAGUCGCUAGUAAUCGCAGAUCAGCAACGCUGCGGUGAAUACGUUCCCGGGCCUUGUACACACCGCCCGUCACGUCAUGAAAGUCGGUAACACCCGAAGCCGGUGGCCUAACCCCUUGUGGGAGGAGCCGUCGAAGUGAUCGC